UAGGGAAUCUUCGGCAAUGGACGAAAGUCUGACCGAGCAACGCCGCGUGAAUGAUGAAGGCCUUCGGGUUGUAAAAUUCUGUUAUCAGGGAAGAAAAGUUAGAGUAGGAAAUGGCUGUAGCGUGACGGUACCUGAUGAGAAAGCCACGGCUAACUACGUGCCAGCAGCCGCGGUAAUACGUAGGUGGCAAGCGUUAUCCGGAAUUAUUGGGCGUAAAGAGCGCGCAGGUGGUUGAUUAAGUCUGAUGUGAAAGCCCACGGCUUAACCGUGGAGGGUCAUUGGAAACUGGUCAACUUGAGUGCAGAAGAGGGAAGUGGAAUUCCAUGUGUAGCGGUGAAAUGCGUAGAGAUAUGGAGGAACACCAGUGGCGAAGGCGGCUUCCUGGUCUGUAACUGACACUGAGGCGCGAAAGCGUGGGGAGCAAACA
rnacentral:rRNA from 1 species